rnacentral:rRNA from 1 species
CCUACGGGUGGCAGCAGUGGGGAAUAUUGCACAAUGGGGGAACCCCUGAUGCAGCGACGCCGCGUGAGCGAAGAAGUAUUUCGGUAUGUAAAGCUCUAUCAGCAGGGCAGAAAAUGACGGUACCUGACUCAGACGCCCCGGCUAACUACGUGCCAGCAGCCGCGGUAAUACGCAGGGGGCAAGCGUUAUCCGGAUUUACUGGGUGUUAAGGGAGCGUAGACGGUCCGGCAAGCCAGAUGUGAAAGCCUGGGGUUCAACCCCGGGACUGCAUUUGGAACUGUAAGGCUAGAGUGUCGGAGAGGCAGGCGGAAUGCCUAGUGUAGCGGUGAAAUGCGUAGAUAUUAGGAGGAACACCAGUGGCGAAGGCGGCCUGCUGGACGAUGACUGACGUUGAGGCUCGAAAGCGUGGGGAGCAAACAGGAUUAGAUACCCUUGUAGUC